rfam:Capsicum annuum cultivar Zunla-1 chromosome 6, whole genome shotgun sequence
UACCUGGUUGAUCCUUUCAGUAUUCAUAUGCUCAUCUCAAAGAUUAAGUCAUGCAUAUGUAAGUAUGAACAAAUUCAGAUUGUAAAACUACGAAUGGCUCAUUAAAUCAGUUAUAAUUUUUUGAUAGUAUCUACUACUUGGAUAACCGUAGUAAUUCUAGAGCUAAUACGUGCAAAAAACUCUGACUUCUAGAAGGGAUGCAUUUAUUAGAUAAAAGGUUGACAUGGGCUCUUCCCGUUGCUGCAAUGAUUCAUUACAACUCAAUGGAUUGCACAGCCAUCUUAUCGGAGACACAUCAUUUAAAUUUCUACCCUAUCAAUUUUUGAUGGUAGGAUAGUGGCCUACCAUGGAGGUGAUGGGUGACGGAGAAUUAGGGUUCGAUUUUGAAGAGGGAGCUUGUGAAACGGCUACCACAUCUAAGAAAGGCAGCAGGUAUGUAAAUUACCCAAUCCUGACAUGGGGAGGUAGUGACAAUAAAUAACAUUACCGGGCUCAAUAGGUCUGGUAAUUGGAAUGAGUAAAAGCUAAAUCCCUUAACGAGGAUCCAUUGGAGGUCAAGUAUGGUGCCACCAACUACGGUAAUUCUAUCUAUAAUAGCAUAUAUUUAAGUUUUUGCAUUUAAAAAGCUCGUAGUUGUACUUUGGGAUGGGCCAGCUGGUCCGCCUAUAGUGUGCAUCGAUCAUCUCGUCCUUUUUAUCGAUGAUGCGCUCCUGGCCUUAACUUGAUGGGUCGUGCCUCCGGCGCUGUUACUUUGAUGAAAUUAGAGUGCUCAAAGAAAGCCUACACUCUUUAUACAUUAGCAUGGGAUAACAUUACAGGAUUUUGGUCCUAUUACGUUUGCCUUCGAGAUCAGAGUACUAAUUAACAGGGAUAGUCGGGGGCAUUCAUAUUUCAUAGUCAGAGGUAAAAUUCUUGAAUUUAUGAAAGCCAAACAACUACAAAAGCAUUUACCAAGGAUGUUUUUAUUAAUCAAGAACAAAAUUUGAGGGCUCAAAGACGAUCAGAUAGCGUCUUAGUCUCAACCAUAAAAGAUGCCGACCAGAGAUCGAUAGAUGUUGCUUUUAGAACUCCACCGGUACCUUAUAAGAAAUCAAAGUUUCGGCAAGGGGGAGUAUAGUCAUAAGGCUAAAACUUAAAGGAAUUAAUGGAAGGGAACCACCAAGAGUGAAGGCUGCUGCUAAAUUUGACUCAACACGGAGAAACUUACCUGGUCCAAACAUAGUAAGGAUUAACAAAUUGAGAGCUCUUUCUCAAUUAUAUGGGUGGUGGUGCAUGGACAUUUUUAGUUAGUAGAGCGAUUUAUCUGGUUAAUUCCAUUAAUGAAAGAGACCUCAGCUUGCUAACUAGCUAUGCGGAGGUAUUCCUUCGCAGCCAGCUUCUUAGAGGGACUACGACCUUUUAGGCCUAGGAAGUUUGAGGGAAAAAUAGGUCUGUGAUGCCCUUAGAUGUUUUGGGCUGUACGCAUGCUACGCUGAUAUAUUCAACAAGUUUAUAGCCUUGGCCGACAGGCCCGGGUAAUCUUUUAAAUUUUAGCAUGACGGGGAUAGAUCAUUGCAACUGUUGGUCUUCAAUGAGGAAUUACUAGUAAGCGCAAGUUAUUAGCUUGCAUUGACUACGUCCCUGACCUUUGUACACACUACCCGUCGCUCUUACCGAUUGAAUGAUCUAGUGAAAUAUUCAGAUCAUGGCAACGUAGGCGGUUGCUGCCUGCAACGUCACGAGAAGUCCAUUGAACCUUAUUAUUUAGAGGAAAGAGAAGUCAUAACAAGGCUUUCGUAGGUGAACCUGUGGAAGGAUCAUUA